GAAUGAAGGAAGCAUGUUAAUGAGCACAGAAAUUGAUUUGGGUCUCUAGGAUUAUCUUCUCUGAUGCUUUUCGGUUUUGAUUUGGGGGCAUUGUUCUGUAGCAAAACA